CGACGCCGCGUGCGGGAUGAAGGCCUUCGGUUGUAACCGCUUCACCAGGAAGAAUCCAGACGGUACCUGGGAAGAAGCGCCGGCUAACUACGUGC
rnacentral:rRNA from 1 species